AGUCGAACGAGCGAGAGAGAGCUUGCUUUCUCGAGCGAGUGGCGAACGGGUGAGUAACGCGUGAGGAACCUGCCUCAAAGAGGGGGACAACAGUUGGAAACGACUGCUAAUACCGCAUAAGCCCACGGCUCGGCAUCGAGCAGAGGGAAAAGGAGCAAUCCGCUUUGAGAUGGCCUCGCGUCCGAUUAGCUAGUUGGUGAGGUAAUGGCCCACCAAGGCAACGAUCGGUAGCCGGACUGAGAGGUUGAACGGCCACAUUGGGACUGAGACACGGCCCAGACUCCUACGGGAGGCAGCAGUGGGGAAUAUUGCACAAUGGGGGAAACCCUGAUGCAGCGACGCCGCGUGGAGGAAGAAGGUCUUCGGAUUGUAAACUCCUGUUGUUGAGGAAGAUAAUGACGGUACUCAACAAGGAAGUGACGGCUAACUACGUGCCAGCAGCCGCGGUAAAACGUAGGUCACAAGCGUUGUCCGGAAUUACUGGGUGUAAAGGGAGCGCAGGCGGGAAGACAAGUUGGAAGUGAAAUCUAUGGGCUCAACCCAUAAACUGCUUUCAAAACUGUUUUUCUUGAGUAGUGCAGAGGUAGGCGGAAUUCCCGGUGUAGCGGUGGAAUGCGUAGAUAUCGGGAGGAACACCAGUGGCGAAGGCGGCCUACUGGGCACCAACUGACGCUGAGGCUCGAAAGUGUGGGUAGCAAACAGGAUUAGAUACCCUGGUAGUCCACACCGUAAACGAUGAUUACUAGGUGU
rnacentral:rRNA from 1 species